rnacentral:misc_RNA from 1 species
GAUGAAGAACGUAGCGAAAUGCGAUAAGUAAUGUGAAUUGCAGAAUUCAGUGAAUCAUCGAAUCUUUGAACGCACCUUGCGCCCUUUGGCCAUUCCGAAGGGCAUGCCUGUUUGAGUAUCAUGAACACCUCAACUCUUUAUGGUUUUCCAUGAUGAGCUUGGACUUUGGGGGUUUUGCUGGCCUAUGGUCGGCUCCUCUAAAAUAAAUCAGCUUACCGGUGUUAGGUGGGUAUCAUGGGUGUGAUAACUAUCUACGCUUGUGGUUUUUCCACCAGGUAACCUUCGACAGCGGAGGUUCACUGGAGCUCAUAGAUGUCUCUCCUCAGUGAGGACAGCCCUUUGAAUGUUUGAUCUCAAAUCAGGUAGGACUACCCGCUGAACUUAAGCAUAUCAAUAAGCGGAGGA